CGGCACGGGUGAGUAACACGUGUCCAACCUGCCGUCUACUCUUGGACAGCCUUCUGAAAGGAAGAUUAAUACAAGAUGGCAUCAUGAGUCCGCAUGUUCACAUGAUUAAAGGUAUUCCGGUAGACGAUGGGGAUGCGUUCCAUUAGAUAGUAGGCGGGGUAACGGCCCACCUAGUCUUCGAUGGAUAGGGGUUCUGAGAGGAAGGUCCCCCACAUUGGAACUGAGACACGGUCCAA
rnacentral:rRNA from 1 species